CUCCAUACCUUCAGCAGUGGUGGGAAGUGGAGAAACCCGAGCCCCUUCUUCCCUAGACCCUAAAAAGCUUGAAGGCAGGUCAAAGGGAACACCGGAUGACAAGAGACUCACUGGAGUGUUGGACUGUUCAAUGAGUUUGCGCUCCCACAUCUUCAGACGGCGCUCCCGCUCCUUCAGCUCCUGCUCCUUGGUGCUGAGGUCCCUCUCCAACUUCUUCAGCUGCUCAAGAGUGGCUUCAAUCUCGCACCUUCAGCACAACAAACAUCAGCUUUUAGAGAAUUUUUGCAGCAAACAUUUUUAAUCUGCAAAAACAAGAAACUGGGAAGAAGGAAGGGAGCAAGGAAGGGCAGAAGGAUCGACAGCGAUGGAAAGAACAAGGAGACGAUAAAUAACAGAAAGGGAGGAACAAAGAACACAUAGGCAAGAAUGGAGGAGACUAGGAAUAAAGAAAGGACAGAAACAAGGAGAUGGCUGCCUGGACACGGUGCAACCAGCACAACUUCUCAGAUGAAAAACGCAAAAACUCCUCAGCAAACAGACGAGGCCCGCAGAGAGGCAGACAGAGAAUAAAGUGACAGCUGAGACUCAGGCUGUGCUGAACAUCACCAAACAUCCAGCUGCUCAUACAGGCCAAUUAAACACUUCUACUUGAAAAAGAUGGUGAUUAUUUUUAGGGUCUUAUGGGUAAAGAGAGGAAGUAUAUCCAGAUGGAUCAUUCUUUGGGGGUUUUCAU